UACGUAGGUGACAAGCGUUGUCCGGAUUUACUGGGCGUAAAGAGCGCGCAGGCGGUCGAUCAAGUCGAGUGUGAAAGCCCCGGGCUCAACCUGGGAACUGCAUUUGGGACUGCAAGGCUGGAGUACGGCAGAGGGAGGUGGAAUUCCACGUGUAGCAGUGAAAUGCGUAGAGAUGUGGAGGAACACCGAUGGCGAAGGCAGCCUCCUGGGCUAGUACUGACGCUCAUGCACGAAAGCGUGGGGAGCAAACAGG
rnacentral:rRNA from 1 species